CGAACCUGGACUGGCAACUCGUUUCCUACAUGAUAUUUUACAUGUUUCAUUGCCAUUCUCCCAAAUCUUCCCACCCUCUCCCUCUCCCACAGAGUCCAUAAGACUGUUCUAUACAUCAGUGUCUCUUUUGCUGUCUCGUACACGGGUUAUUGUUACCAUCUUUGGAACACUGAAACUAACAGAAUGUCCUCAAGGAAGUUCAACUCAAUUGCCUUCCUCUGAAAAAGACGCUAAACUACGUGAUUGUUCGAUGCUCCUGGAAAGAAAUAUCUGUUUCAUUUGAAGUUUCCAUUUUACCCUUGAAACCUAGGUUUGAUGGUGUGAGAAAUGCUUGCCUUCCUUUCUUUCUCCUGGUUGAGUUACAGAGAAUCAUUAGGUGCUUAUUAGACUAAUGUGAAGGCAGAUAACACCGGUUAUGGAGCCCAUGACUCAUUUUUAAAUUUUACCAGUUCUCUUUCACUUACUGCCUAAAUUGCAGGCUUUCUUGUGACAGGUAGCUCUGAAAUAGUAGAUAUCAAAAUUUAUGACUUAAAAAAGUUAAGGUGCUUAUCUUUAGAAAAUUCCUGGUAUGAGCCAAUUACCAACCUCUUUACUUUC
rnacentral:lncRNA from 1 species